CAGGUGCUGCAUGGCUGUCGUCAGCUCGUGUUGUGAAAUGUUGGGUUAAGUCCCGCAACGAGCGCAACCCUUAUCCUUUGUUGCCAGCGAUUCGGUCGGGAACUCAAAGGAGACUGCCGGUGAUAAACCGGAGGAAGGUGGGGAUGACGUCAAGUCAUCAUGGCCCUUACGAGUAGGGCUACACACGUGCUACAAUGGCGCAUACAAAGAGAAGCGACCUCGCGAGAGCAAGCGGACCUCACAAAGUGCGUCGUAGUCCGGAUCGGAGUCUGCAACUCGACUCCGUGAAGUCGGAAUCGCUAGUAAUCGUGGAUCAGAAUGCCACGGUGAAUACGUUCCCGGGCCUUGUACACACCGCCCGUCACACCAUG
rnacentral:rRNA from 1 species